rnacentral:lncRNA from 1 species
CUUGGCUCCACGACAGCGUUUGGCGACCGUCGACGAUGGUGCGCGCCAGCGCCUCGUAGAGCCAGAGCGCGUAACGCACAGCGAGAUCGAGUGUGGGCGGUCUGUAGACGGUCGCCGCCGCUGCCGCUGCCGACCCGUCCGAGGGCGCCGGCGAGCCCAUGAUGGCAGCAACCGCGCCGGGCGCCGUCAUCUCGUCGACCGACGUCAUCGGACGUAUGCGCGAUACUCCCGUCACGCCUUGCAUGUAGGUGACGGCACCAGCCGGAAUGUCGUCGCUGCACAUGAUCAGGUAUAUGUAGAAUUUGACCCACUUGGUGAGGCCGUUGAGGAGGAGCGCCAGCGCGUCGUUGGCCGGGCGGCCUACUUGCACGAGGCCGCCAUAGUCCUCGGUGGCCCAUGCGUCGCUGGCGCCCGACUGCACGUCGCGCGAAAAAGUGGCACCGCGCCCCAGGUUGAUCCCGGUGAGCCGCUGAAAGAGCGCGCUGGCGAUCGACCGGUAAAAGCACGCGCCAUCCCCGUUGAUCUCCUGGAGAUAGUAGUCGAGCGGCGGCGCGUCGGGACCGGCCGCCACUUGAGGAGGCGGCGGCCGUUGGAGAAAGAGGGCCUCGUUGCGUGCGGUCACGAUACGCACGCGACCCACGUCGACGGCAUAGCGGUUGAGCGCUGUCUGCCGUUCGGCCGCGCCGGUGCGAGCGGCAACCAGCGCGCCUCGGUAGGCCUCUCCCGGUUGGCGCGUGACCCUGGACACGGCGCAACGCCACAGACGCCGUGCCCAAUCAAGCGGGUCGGCCCCCGUGCCCCUGCCUGAUGACGAGGGCGUGGAGGGCGAUGAUGAUGGUGAUGGUGGUGGUGAUGGCAGGGGCGCAAAGGUAUCGGGCCAGCGUUCGAUGAGCGUCGCGGCGACCUCGUCGGCGCCCGCCGGAAUGAAGCGCGCCGCACGCACAUUCGGGUCGCCCGGACCAUCGAGCGGCCGCCCAAGGGCAUCGACAAAAUCAAAGCGGCCGAGAAUCUCACCUACUUGGCGCAGAAAAGUAGCGUCGGACCAUCGGCUCUGGCGUUCGACACCUGAUAUUGUGGCGGUGAGGGCGCCGCUAAGACCCAGCGUGCCGUAGAUGGCGUCGCAGUCGGACGCCGUUGGUUGGCCGACAUCGCCCGCUGCCCAGUAGGGCACAGCAUCGGGACGCUCCAAGUAGGACGUCAAAGCCUCGGCAGCGAGUCGGGCGAUCAGAGGCUCCCAUUGCGCUCCCGCCGCUGCCCCUUCGGGUCGGCGCUGGAGCGCUGCCCGCGGGCGUAUCUCGUAUGCGCGUGUGACCCGACGCAUGCCUGCACGCCCACACUAUGGGCGGCCCGGAGCCCGUGUAUACACAAAGAGGAAAAAAUCGCUUGGGAACACGAGGACGUG